GUUUUUGUAGUUGAUAUACAACGGUGGUUUUUCAGACCUCAAGACUCAUAGAUAGAGCAAAAAUU
rnacentral:tRNA from 1 species